GACGAACGCUGGCGGCGUGCUUAACACAUGCAAGUCGAACGGAAAGGCCCUGCUUGCAGGGUACUCGAGUGGCGAACGGGUGAGUAACACGUGGGUGAUCUGCCCUGCACUUCGGGAUAAGCCUGGGAAACUGGGUCUAAUACCGGAUAGGAGCCAUUUUUAGUGUGAUGGUUGGAAAGUUUUUUCGGUGUAGGAUGAGCUCGCGGCCUAUCAGCUUGUUGGUGGGGUAAUGGCCUACCAAGGCGGCGACGGGUAGCCGGCCUGAGAGGGUGGACGGCCACAGUGGGACUGAGGUACGGCCCAGACACCGACGGGAGGGAGAAGGGGGGAAUAUUGCACAAUGGGCGCAAGCCUGAUGCAGCGAGGCCGCGUGGGGGAUGACGGCCUUCGGGUUGUAGAAUCCUUUCGCUAGGGACGAAGCGUUUUGUGACGGUACCUAGAGAAGAAGCACCGGCUAACUACGUG
rnacentral:rRNA from 1 species